rnacentral:rRNA from 1 species
GACGAACGCUGGCGGCGUGCUUAACACAUGCAAGUCGAACGGAAAGGCCUCUUUCGGGUGGUACUCUCGUGGCGCACGGGGGAGUAACACGCGAGUAUCCUCCGCUCUACCCUUUGGUAUCUCCUGGAAACACGGGCUAAUACACGGGAGAGGCGCUCCCUGCGCGGUGGGGGUGGUAGAAUUUCUCCGGGGUUGGGGGUAGACUCGCGGUUUCUCAGCGUGUUGGUGGGGUAGUGUCAUCCCAAGGCUUUCGGGGGUCGACGAGGUGAGAGUGUGAACGGGGACAUUGGGACUGAGAUACGGCCCAGACUCCUACGGGAGGCAGAAGUGGGGAAUAUUGCACAAUGGGUGGGAGCCUGAUGCAGCAACGCCGUGUGCGGGGUGACGGCCUUCGGGUUGGAAACAGCUCUCGCUCAUGAGAAAGCGUGGUGUGACGGUAGUGGGUAAAGGAACACCGGCUAACUACCUG